UUACGGCGACAUCACGUUGAAACACCGCUUCCCGUACGAUCACCGAAGUUAAGCAACGAGGAGUCUGGUAGGUACCUAGAUGGGUGACCGCUUGGGAAUACCAGCUGCUGUAAG